rnacentral:rRNA from 1 species
UACGUAGGGUGCGAGCGUUAAUCGGAAUUACUGGGCGUAAAGCGUGCGCAGGCGGUUCGCCAAGUCAGGUGUGAAAUCCCCGGGCUUAACCUGGGAAUUGCGCUUGAAACUAGCGGGCUUGAGUGUGGCAGAGGGGGGUGGAAGUUCCAAGUGUAGCAGUGAAAUGCGUAGAUAUUUGGAGGAACACCAAUGGCGAAGGCAGCCCCCUGGGUUAACACUGACGCUCAUGCACGAAAGCGUGGGGAGCAAACAGG